rnacentral:sRNA from 1 species
UUAUAAACCAGAUUGAAGCGAAAAUACUUUUUAACUUCUGGCGAAAAAAGAACCAGUUAACAUUGCCAGCUAAAGUGCAGCAAAAGAGGCACAACAGAAGUUGAAAAGAUUGAAGCAGAAAGCGAGACUGCCC